AUUGAACGCUGGCGGCAUGCCUUACACAUGCAAGUCGAACGGCAGCACGGGAGCAAUCCUGGUGGCGAGUGGCGAACGGGUGAGUAAUAUAUCGGAACGUGCCCAGUCGUGGGGAUAACGUAGCGAAAGCUACGCUAAUACCGCAUACGAUCUAUGGAUGAAAGCGGGGGAUCGCAAGACCUCGCGCGAUUGGAGCGGCCGAUAUCAGAUUAGGUAGUUGGUGAGGUAAAGGCUCACCAAGCCGACGAUCUGUAGCUGGUCUGAGAGGACGACCAGCCACACUGGGACUGAGACACGGCCCAGACUCCUACGGGAGGCAGCAGUGGGGAAUUUUUGGACAAUGGGCGCAAGCCUGAUCCAGCAAUGCCG
rnacentral:rRNA from 1 species